UGGAUUGAGAGCUUGCUCUCAAGAAGUUAGCGGCGGACGGGUGAGUAACACGUGGGUAACCUGCCCAUAAGACUGGGAUAACUCCGGGAAACCGGGGCUAAUACCGGAUAACAUUUUGAACUGCAUGGUUCGAAAUUGAAAGGCGGCUUCGGCUGUCACUUAUGGAUGGACCCGCGUCGCAUUAGCUAGUUGGUGAGGUAACGGCUCACCAAGGCAACGAUGCGUAGCCGACCUGAGAGGGUGAUCGGCCACACUGGGACUGAGACACGGCCCAGACUCCUACGGGAGGCAGCAGUAGGGAAUCUUCCGCAAUGGACGAAAGUCUGACGGAGCAACGCCGCGUGAGUGAUGAAGGCUUUCGGGUCGUAAAACUCUGUUGUUAGGGAAGAACAAGUGCUAGUUGAAUAAGCUGGCACCUUGACGGUACCUAACCAGAAAGCCACGGCUAACUACGUGCCAGCAGCCGCGGUAAUACGUAGGUGGCAAGCGUUAUCCGGAAUUAUUGGGCGUAAAGCGCGCGCAGGUGGUUUCUUAAGUCUGAUGUGAAAGCCCACGGCUCAACCGUGGAGGGUCAUUGGAAACUGGGAGACUUGAGUGCAGAAGAGGAAAGUGGAAUUCCA
rnacentral:rRNA from 2 species